AUGUUUAAAACAUGACCUGUAAUAGAAAAUUUGGUCUUUGAACAAUUAUCCUUAAGCUAUUUGUCUUUUUAGGGGCUGGUGAGUUUUUGGAGUUCUUACAAUCUAUUUUGUAAAUACCUAACAUAGGACUUAUCAUAGAUACUUGGGGACUUGCUAGGAGACUUUUGAUUCAUUCAUCCCAGGAUUCUAGAAAGAAUGGACCAUGAUAACAGCUGAUGAUCCAGUUUCUCAUCUCAGUGACCCUGAGGCAACUUCACUGAAGUCAGUGGUCUUACCUUGAAAUGAGAAUUUGGCCCAUAUGACAAUAUAGCCACCACCAUUUUUGCAUAGACAGUUUUCCAUAUAAACUAGGAUCUGAGGGCAGCUAAUGGUCAGCAGAUGUAUUAAUAUGUUAAUGUUGAUUUUACAUUGACAGUAAUAGUGAUUUUUAAUUCAUAUUGCAAUUUUAACCUUUCCAGGCUUCCUGGGAUUUUUAUGCAUACACUUGGUCAUCAAAUCAAAAUUACUGUUGUACCUACCACAAGGACAAAAAGGCCUGAACAAGUCGCCAGCAUCUUACUGUGCACUGAUGCACUUUUUGGUUUCAGGAAGAACCAUGGAUUAAUGACUGACAAAAUCAUGAAGAAUGGAUCUAAAACUCUGAGCCAAACAAUUAUCCCAAUUAGGGGUCUGAUCUCAAGUGGGUGAAGAUGACUCAUCGCUGGAAAGCAGACUGUAAUGUUUGAAAGGCAUCUAAUGGCCAGAUCUGUUGGAGAUCAGACAUUGUCAUCUUCCAGCUACGACAAAAGAGAAUUUAUAAACCAUCUUUUCCAGAUCAUAUUUUAAAAAUAUUUCAGUUUUUAGAUCUAUUUCAGAAGCACCCAGUCCAGGCUCUACAUAGUUGCACAAAUAUUAAAAUAUACAAGAGUAAAUAUCCAAGUGUGCACGCGCUUAUGUGUGUAUUUUUUAUAAACAAAACAAAACACAACCUUGACCAUAAACAGUACUCUUUCUAAGCAUGUCACCCCAUCAGAUAAUAACUUCCCACGUUCGACCAUUCAACUCUCAACCCAUCUCCUCCUGAAAGGCUGAGAGAAGAGAUGGGCCUUGCAAUAGGCGCAAAGGAUGAGCAACCCUAGAACCAAGGGGGUGGGGGGAGGGAAUGAGUUGCAGAGUCAAGAAAUGCUUCCAACAACCAGCCUUCGACCAGCCCCCUCAGAUUUAUCUGAGCUGAGUUUUAAUCAAUUAGUCCUCAACCAAGGGCCAGUCUCAGACUGAGGGUAAGUCACUCAUCUGCACAACUGGGUUAAGUGAUUAGAGACAGAGCUAGGUGCCACAGCAUACUUAAUAGGUAUACAUAAUCCUACCUCGCACGGGGGGAUGGACUAGAUAACCUCUUGAGGUGCCUUCCAGUCCUACAUUACUGGGAUUCUAUACUACAGGCAUCAUGAUCCAUACAGGCAAUGUGACCAGAUAAAACCAUGGUACUUUGUGGCAGACAAAUAAUUGCCCAGUACUACCUUUUUGGGCCUCUCGAGCAGAAAGAACACUUAAAAGCAAUUCUACUUACCCCUGCUAGGGACAACCUGUGGAUCUCAGAAACCAACAGUAUUAAAGGCAACUAAGGGAUCUCAGAUGAUCAGCAUGUGCACUUCUUCAUCCGUUAGCAGGAGAUCAGGCACUCACAUCCUACAGUGAUGAUAGAUGG
ensembl:lncRNA